rnacentral:rRNA from 1 species
UAAACGACUCUCGGCAACGGAUAUCUCGGCUCAUGCAUCGAUGAAGAACGUAGCAAAAUGCGAUACUUGGUGUGAAUUGCAGAAUCCCGUGAACCAUCGAGUUUUUGAACGCAAGUUGCGCCCAAAGCCAUUUGGCUAARGGCACGUCUGCCUGGGCGUCACGC